CCACUUCUCGCGUUGUUGCGAAAGCCCGGAAAGGUGGAUUUUCGCCGCACUGCCCUGGCGGCUGCUGCGGCCGUCAGCCCUCCGCCCCCGGGUCCGGGUCUGUCGGGUAGAGCGCCUGUAGGCAGCUCUUAGCUUCCUUCCUCCUCUGCGUGCCGGCAAACGAAACGGAGCGGCGCCCUCGACCCCGGCGCCGACCUGGGCCCGCAGAGGCGGUCGGGACGGGACUGAGCAUGCUCGGGCGGCGCAGGUGGCGUCCCGAGGUGGAGGUGGCCGCGGUCCCACCGCGACGCCGCAGGCGAUGCAGAGCCUCCAGGUGAGGUGAAAAAUCACAUUGAACGUCAGCUUUACCGUGUCUCGCGUGGCAACACACUUGAGCGCCAAUAACUUUUCAGCCCGUGUUUCUUUCACGCGAAUCUCCUUUUUCUGCGAGCUUUUAAAAGACACCAGUCGCCCCUGGGAGGCCUGCAUGCUUUCCCCCGACCCCUGAUCUGUGCUGGGGUCACCUUCGUCCUUGAGCUUUGAGACCCCAUUGUCGCUGGCACCGCCUGAGCCCUGCUCUGGAGUUCGCCCCGGUUCCCAUCCACAGCCAGGCCGCCCCGGCGGGGGGAAGGUGGAUACAGCAUCUUCUCAAUCGUCCGCACUGCCGCCCGCGCCUCUGAAGCCUCCUGGUCCCCGGGCCCCGGGCCCCGUGGCACGGGCGUUCCUCGUGCGUCCGGCUUCCUACCGACCGCUGUUCCACCUCCUUCCCGGGUCCUCCUUGGCGCGCCCCGCCUGUAGCGCUUCCCCCUUUGGCGCUGCCUGAGGCUCUCACCCACUCCAAAGCUCAGUCCCCAGGUUGGUGGUCAGCACGUAGGCUGCGCCCGCGGGUAGUUGCCCAAAUCCCGUGUGUCCGCCCACACCUGUUCUCACUGGUCAGUGUGUCUGCCUGGCCCUUUGUCCCCAUGGCUGUUAAUAUCGUGAAUGCCAUCUUUGCCCCACACCAUACUCUCCAGGUCUCCCUCUGAUCAGACCCUUUUAUGUAACCAAAUAUCUUAACUGCUGUGACCCUGCGGAAACUUGAGCCCAGCAUGUCCCAAACACAACUCAGGAGCUGCGGUUGCCCUUCCUCCUGAAUGACCUAGCUGGGUUACUGGCACCCCGAUCUUCUCAGCUCUGCGCCCCAUAGAUAUGGAUGCCGACCUCGACUCAUCCAUCCGUGUGUCCCCUGUCAUCCAGCUGGUCACUGGCACUGCCUCUGCCCUUAGAUGUCCCGACUCCUGAUGCUCCGUGUACAUUACCCUCCUCAGGGCCCACCUGCAGAUGGGCUCUCUCUCUGUGGUCCCUGCCGCCCCCCCCUUCCGUGCCUCUUCAGGCUUCUCUUUAAGCAGAUUACGUUUCAGUGCAUCUGCUAAAAAUCCUUAGUGGGUUCGGAGUGCCUUCAGGAUAAAGUCCAGUGUUAAAGCACGCCCUGGCCCAUCUCCCUCUCCAAAUCAGCCCCCAGCCAGUGUCCCCUGGCGCUCGAGGGUCAGAGCCUGGUGUCCCAUAUCCUGGCCAGUCCAGAAGGCUUGCCGUGCAAAUCCACGCCUCCGUGUUCCUUUGAAUCUUUGGUCUUCCCUUUCCCCUUGGCACAGUUAGGCCUUUGAGGACCAGCUGGCGCCAGGUCUACUGCGACCUCCCCAAGGUGACUUCCUCUUGAAUACUUCAUGUGGGCCGCGUACUUGUCUCCAUAUUGACACCUGACCUCGAUUUAUUUUUCUUCAGCUCCUCCACUGCUUUGUAGGCAGUGUGACAGCAAGGGCUUGUUUCAGCAAUCUGUGUGUUUUUGUUUUCAGUACAAUUUUACUUAAUAAAUGAAUGAUAGAUGUAUGUACCAUGUCAUAUUUAAAGUUCCUUAAAUUUUGAAAUUAUUCCUGAAAUUUGUAAAGAGAAUGCAAAGAAAAAAUACCAGAACAGAGUCACGUCAUAUUCGACCUGCUAAAUGGUUAUGCUCUUUUGGGUGAUGGAAGCUUAGUCCCAGAUUCGACCUCGGCCCCGUGAAUUUCCUUUUGCUUCCCCAUGAGUUGGCCGAUGCACUCGUUGCAUCAGUCUGUAAGGGCACACGGCUCAGCGUCGUGUUGCUGAUCAGUCCACAAUUCCAUUGUUCUCUAUCAUAUGUUUCCUUCCACCUCCACGGUGGGGUUAUAACCAUCUAAUUAUAUGGUCACUCCUUCGGAUAGAUUUUGUUUAUUUUUCUGUUGAAAGUAUGGCACCCAGGCAGGACAGAUUAACCGUUUAGGGGUGGACACGAGGGCCCCAGUUGUGCCCGCUCCCACUGUCUGCUGAGAGCACCGCGGAGGGCUCGGUGGAGGGGGCUGAUCCCCUGCUCCCGGGCCCCCUCUCCUGGGGACAAUGAACCCCUCCAGACCUCCUGAAGGGAGUGGGCUGGGGGCAGCAGUUGUAACAAGCCCCCCAGGGCGCUCUGCACAGCGCCCUUGAGAAGCACAGUUAGGUCGUAUGGAUCAAUGGAAAACUAGUAGCUGUGAGUCCGGAGCUUCAGGUGGCCUCAUCUUGGUCCCUUUUGCAGAGAGGGGUGUGGCUGGGGGCGGGGGGCUCUGGCCCGUUGCCACGGUGAUCUCCGUGUCGGUGCCUGCGUAGCCGCAGCUUGUUUCCAGCCUGGAGAGUCUGGGUGGUGCCAGUGGGGAGGCUUGGUCUCCCCUGUGCUGAACCACGCAGGGCUCUAUUUGGUGCUGCUUCCGGUGCCCAUCCUGAGCCCAGCCUCUGACAGGAAACCCAAGGAGACAUUAAAGAAUGCUGUAAUUCACAAAAUGAACAGCUGCAUCAAGAAACAGACGUGACAGUCCCAUUAGUCUGAACAGAGUAUGGUACUCACCAGGCCCAUCUGUUCUGGAGACGCCGAGGAGAAGGACGCUCUGAAGUAAGGGCUGGGCGCCGAGCUGUCGAUGUAGAAGACGUUCCCAGGAGCUAUUAGUAUCUGAGAGAGUUUACGGAAAAUCAAUUACCAUUAAAGGGAAACUAAAAGAAAAUAUAGCCACAUGGAACCCGUGUGUGGAAGACCGAACAGCACGAUGGAAGGAACCAGGCUCUCAGCUCAGCCGUGCUUGGAGCGGAGGCGCCUGUAGGUCACACCUUUGAAAAUUUUAUGUGAGUUGGAAACAGACUUGCAUCGGGUUGAGUCUUGAGAUAUUCAGAAGCAUUGGUACUGCUCGUCAGUACAUGGCGUAGACCUGGGCACUGCCUGCUGAAGUAAGCUUGGGCACCGCUUCCCGAUCACCCUGGACAUCAUCCCAGUCAGCUGCCACCAGGGGCUCUCGCCGGCGCCCAGGAGGAAACCCACACCUCAUCCCGGGGUGUUGCAGGAGCCCGGAGCUAGGACCCGAUCCAGGAAGACCGUCCGUCCUGCCCACUCCGUUCGCCCAAGGCCGAGGCCCACCGCGCUAGCUGCUGUUUUAGAAGCAAGUAGAUUCGGGAAGGGGCAGCACUACCGGAGGUGCAGAGUACUGGCCCCACGGUAAAACUGAAACACUAAAGACUGAAGUGGUAGCGAAUUCACAGUCAUUUAUUUAACUUCAGUGAGAAGGCGGGUCACUGGCACGGAGCCAGCCUGGAAUCCGGUCAGCGCCGUAGCCUGCAGCUGCCCUUCUACAGUGCGGGGCGCUCCUGUCAGCACUCACCUUGGUGAACUGGAGAAAGUAGUAAGGAUCAUCUUCUACUAUGAGGAAAUCGUAUUUUCUUGCGACCUGAAGAAAAGUUAAAACAGUAAGUUCAUUUCUUAGGAGAUACUUAAAGUGAAAAUCACUGGGACGCAGAAUCCUUCGCGCUGGUUGGGUGGGGCUGCACAGACCCAGGAGUGCUGGCGCGCGAGACAGACGGGGGCGGACGGAACUGCAGCACACGCCCGGCGUUGAGGAAGCGGCACUUCCAUCAGACAGGCCGGCACUUACAGCCGUAGAACCGGGCGAGGCUGUCUGGGGGGGCGGGGGGGGGGGGCGUGAAUAAGAACACUCAGGACACAGCCGAGGAAUGGGUGAAGAACAGGGCAAAGUUUUGGAAAAAAGGAUAUAUAGUGAGUGAAAGGAACUGUUUGGAAUCUUAUGAUUCCACCGCACAUGAUCGAAUUCUAUAUAGUUUAACAUGGGUUUGGUAUGUGUUUUUAAAAGCUAUUUGUAGUGACUGGCUAAGGAGCAUAGUUACGUAAGUAAAAGCGACUUUACAAAAGGCACAUUUGUCUUUUCAAAGGUUUCUGUAUUGCUCAAUGUGUUCGCUACUUUUUAAAGACUGUUUGUGGUGAGAAGCUAGGCAUCAUAGGCAGGUACCCAGAAGAGACCUUACAAGGGGAGCUUGCCUCUUAUUUUAAGAAAUAAUUUCUUUGUAACCUGAAAUGACAGGGAGUAGGAAAGAGGAAAGUUGAAAAUAAAAAUAUAAUGAAAAUCAAA